ensembl:snRNA U2 U2 spliceosomal RNA
AUCGCUUCUCGGCCUUUUGGCUAAGAUCAAGUAUAGUAUCUGUUCUUAUCAGUUUAAUUUGUCUUUCCUAUUGGAUACUUUCCCAAAAGUAUAGGUUUUAUAUGUUAGAUUUCUGUCUAAGCUGCUAUAACAGUUUCCCAAAACCCUAGCUUCAAUAUAG